CCUGGUGGCCAUAGCGUUGUGGAACCACCUGACCCAUGUCGAACUCAGACGUGAAACGCAACAGCGCCGAUGAUAGUGUGGGGUUUCCCCAUGUGAAAGUAGGUCACUGCCAGGCUUCGAAUUGAGCCCCAUCC
rnacentral:rRNA from 1 species